rnacentral:rRNA from 1 species
CAAUAGCGUAUAUUAAAGUUGUUGCAGUUAAAAAGCUCGUAGUUGGACCUUGGACCUGGACAGGCGGUCCGCCUCACGGCGAGUACUGUCUUGCUGGGUCUUUCCUCUUGGUGAUCUGUUGUUUCGGCAGCAGGGAACCAGGACCUUUACUUUGAAAAAAUUAGAGUGUUCAAAGCAGGCUCGACGCCGGAAUAUAUUAGCAUGGAAUAAUAAGAUAGGACGUGCGGUUCUAUUUCGUUGGUUUUUGGAAUCGCCGUAAUGAUUAAUAGGGACAGUCGGGGGCAUUAGUACUCACAUGCUAGAGGUGAAAUUCUUGGAUUUUGUGAAGACUAACUUCUGCGAAAGCAUUUGCCAAGGAUGUUUUCAUUAA